ACUCCUACGGGAGGCAGCAGUGGGGAAUAUUGCACAAUGGGCGCAAGCCUGAUGCAGCCAUGCCGCGUGUGUGAAGAAGGCCUUCGGGUUGUAAAGCACUUUCAGUCGUGAGGAAGGUAGUGUAGUUAAUAGCUGCAUUAUUUGACGUUAGCGACGAGAAGACGACGCUAACUCCGUGCCAGCAGCCGCGGUAAUACGGAGGGUGCGAGCGUUAAUCGGAAUUACUGGGCGUAAAGCGCAUGCAGGUGGUUUGUUAAGUCAGAUGUGAAAGCCCGGGGCUCAACCUCGGAAUUGCAUUUGAAACUGGCAAACUAGAGUACUGUAGAGGGGGGUAGAAUUUCAGGUGUAGCGGUGAAAUGCGUAGAGAUCUGAAGGAAUACCGGUGGCGAAGGCGGCCCCCUGGACAGAUACUGACACUCAGAUGCGAAAGCGUGGGGAGCAAACAGGAUUAGAUACCCUGGUAGCUACGAGU
rnacentral:rRNA from 1 species